AGUACCUACGGGAGGCAGCAGUGAGGAAUAUUGGUCAAUGGGCGGGAGCCUGAACCAGCCAAGUCGCGUGAGGGAUGACGGCCCUAUGGGUUGUAAACCUCUUUUGCCGGGGAGCAAAGUGCCGCACGUGUGCGGUUUGGAGAGUACCCGGAGAAAAAGCAUCGGCUAACUCCGUGCCAGCAGCCGCGGUAAUACGGAGGAUGCGAGCGUUAUCCGGAUUUAUUGGGUUUAAAGGGUGCGUAGGCGGAAUAUCAAGUCAGCGGUAAAAAUUCGGGGCUCAACCCCGUCGUGCCGUUGAAACUGAU
rnacentral:rRNA from 1 species